GACGAACGCUGGCGGCGUGCUUAACACAUGCAAGUCGAACGGUGAAGCUCCAGCUUGCUGGAGUGGAUCAGUGGCGAACGGGUGAGUAACACGUGAGCAACCUGCCCCUGACUCUGGAAUAAGCGCUGGAAACGGCGUCUAAUACUGGAUACGAGAAGGGUCCGCAUGGGCACUUUCUGGAAAGUUUUUCGGUUGGGGAUGGGCUCGCGGCCUAUCAGCUUGUUGGUGAGGUAAUGGCUCACCAAGGCGACGACGGGUAGCCGGUCUGAGAGGGCGACCGGCCACACUGGGACUGAGACACGGCCCAGACUCCUACGGGAGGCAGCAGUGGGGAAUAUUGCACAAUGGGCGCAAGCCUGAUGCAGCGACGCCGCGUGAUGGAUGACGGCCUUCGGGUUGUAAACCUCUUUCAGCAGGGAAGAAGCGAAAGUGACGGUACCUGCAGAAGAAGCACCGGCUAACUACGUG
rnacentral:rRNA from 1 species